GCGGCCUAUCAGCUUGUUGGUGAGGUAAUGGCUCACCAAGGCGACGACGGGUAGCCGGCCUGAGAGGGCGACCGGCCACACUGGGACUGAGACACGGCCCAGACUCCUACGGGAGGCAGCAGUGGGGAAUAUUGGGCGAUGGAGGAAACUCUGACCCAGCGACGCCGCGUGCGGGAUGAAGGCCUUCGGGUUGUAAACCGCUUUCAGCAGGGAAGAAGCGAAAGUGACGGUACCUGCAGAAGAAGCACCGGCUAACUAUGUGCCAGCAGCCGCGGUAAUACAUAGGGUGCAAGCGUUGUCCGGAAUUAUUGGGCGUAAAGAGCUCGUAGGUGGCUCGUCACGUCGAAUGUGAAACCCUGAGGCUCAACCUCAGGCCUGCAUCCGAUACGGGCGAACUGGAGUGUGGUAGGGGAGACUGGAAUUCCU
rnacentral:rRNA from 1 species